rnacentral:rRNA from 1 species
GGCUUAACACAUGCAAGUCGAGGGGUAGCAGGGUAGCAAUACCGCUGACGACCGGCGCACGGGUGAGUAACACGUAUCCAACCUUCCCAUAACUCGGGGAUAGCCUUUCGAAAGAAAGAUUAAUACCCGAUAGUACUUUUUCAAGGCAUCUUGAGAAAGUUAAAGAUUUAUUGGUUAUGGAUGGGGAUGCGUUCCAUUAGAUAGUUGGUGAGGUAACGGCUCACCAAGUCUUCGAUGGAUAGGGGUUCUGAGAGGAAGGUCCCCCACAUUGGUACUGAGACACGGACCAAACUCCUACGGGAGGCAGCAGUGAGGAAUAUUGGUCAAUGGGCGAGAGCCUGAACCAGCCAAGUAGCGUGAAGGAUGACGG